UCCUGUGAAUCCCACAGAGAGAGAGAGAUGGGUACCGAUGGCUAUGCAGCGACGGUGGCCCGGCAAUGAUGGCGGUGGCCCGGUGACAGCGGUGGUGGUGGCAGCCCUACGAAAGGAAAAUGGUGUAAGAGAGGGAGAGAGGGAGAAUGAGAGAGAGGGAGGGAGGGAGAAAUUGAGGAGGGAGGAUGCUGGCGGUGGCGGAGGGAGGGCGACGGCGGUGGUGGCGGCCCAGCGACAGCAGCAGCCCUAUGAAAGGGAAACGAUGUAAGAGAGGGAGAGUGAGAGAGAAAG
rnacentral:lncRNA from 1 species